CACUCCUACGGGAGGCAGCAGUGGGGAAUAUUGGACAAUGGGCGCAAGCCUGAUCCAGCCAUGCCGCGUGAGUGAUGAAGGCCCUAGGGUUGUAAAGCUCUUUCACCGGUGAAGAUAAUGACGGUAACCGGAGAAGAAGCCCCGGCUAACUUCGUGCCAGCAGCCGCGGUAAUACGAAGGGGGCUAGCGUUGUUCGGAUUUACUGGGCGUAAAGCGCACGUAGGCGGACUAUUAAGUCAGGGGUGAAAUCCCGGGGCUCAACCCCGGAACUGCCUUUGAUACUGGUAGUCUUGAGUUCGAGAGAGGUGAGUGGAAUUCCGAGUGUAGAGGUGAAAUUCGUAGAUAUUCGGAGGGACACCAGUGGCGAAGGCGGCUCACUGGCUCGAUACUGACGCUGAGGUGCGAAAGCGUGGGGAGCAAACAGGAUUAGAUACCCCGGUAGUCCCAUGAU
rnacentral:rRNA from 1 species